rnacentral:rRNA from 1 species
UACGUAGGUGGCAAGCGUUAUCCGGAUUUAUUGGGUUUAAAGGGAGCGUAGGUGGAUUGUUAAGUCAGUUGUGAAAGUUUGCGGCUCAACCGUAAAAUUGCAGUUGAAACUGGCAGUCUUGAGUACAGUAGAGGUGGGCGGAAUUCGUGGUGUAGCGGUGAAAUGCUUAGAUAUCACGAAGAACUCCGAUUGCGAAGGCAGCUCACUAGACUGCAACUGACACUGAUGCUCGAAAGUGUGGGUAUCAAACAGG